UGGGGAAUAUUGCACAAUGGGGGAAACCCUGAUGCAGCGACGCCGCGUGAGUGAAGAAGUAUUUCGGUAUGUAAAGCUCUAUCAGCAGGGAAGAAGAAAGACGGUACCUGACUAAGAAGCCCCGGCUAACUACGUG
rnacentral:rRNA from 1 species